rnacentral:lncRNA from 1 species
AGCUUCUCCUACUUGGAACAGUUGAAGAAAUUUCUUCUCUUCCUUUGUGUAGCGAAUCCUGUUUUGCUUUAGACUGAGGGAAAGCACACACCUGGGCUCAGGUUCCCACUCUGCCAUUCACUUGGAGCAAGACUUAGAUGGAGGUAUUUUAAAUGAAGAAGACAAACCUAACUUUCAACGAACUAGGAGGGGAAAAAAUCCUAGAAUCGAAUUCCUCUUUGCUCUGGAAAACAAAUCGCCUCCCUUUGGGUUUUAGAAGGACCAUCUGGCAAGUGAAUUGGCCUCUCCGCUUUCCAUCGAAGGAGCCAGGAGAAACGCUGUCUGCACGCCCCUGGCCUGGCCUUGGAGGAGUGCUUUUGAUCUGAUGGCCUUGCAGGAGGCAUGCCACCUACCUCUGCUGCCUUUCUGUUUGAAGGGCUAGCAGGCACUGGAGGGUCAGGAGCCCAACUCAUCCAAAAUCCCAGUGUGGUUAAGUGACUUGGCCAAGGCCACUCAGAGAGUCAGUGGCCAAGUCAGAACUGGAAGCCUGGUCUCCCAACUCCUGGACCAGUGCUCUCUGUGACAAACAAUGUGCUUCUCCAAGACAGCUGGGCUGUCACCACGGACCAAGUGCUCAAACUUCUAUAGUUGUCCAGACUAGAUUCAUGACAUGGGCAUCUUGUUAAAAUGCAAGUUCUGGGGGCUGGCCCCGUGGCCGAGUGGUUAAGUUCGUGCGCUCCGCUGCAGGCGGCCCAGUGUUUCGUUAGUUCGAAUCCUGGGCGCGGACAUGGCACUGCUCGUCAGACCACGCUGAGGCAGCGUCCCACAUGCCACAACUAGAAGAACCCACAACGAAGA